GUACGCCAGUAUUUGUGGAGCCGUCCUUGAAAUACCACCCUUGUAGUGUUGAUGUUCUAACGUCGACCCCUUAUCGGGGUUGCGGACAGUGCCUGGUGGGUAGUUUGACUGGGGCGGUCUCCUCCCAAAGAGUAACGGAGGAGCACGAAGGUGGGCUAAUCACGGUUGGACAUCGUGAGGUUAGUGCAAUGGCAUAAGCCCGCUUGACUGCGAGAAUGACAAUUCGAGCAGGUGCGAAAGCAGGUCAUAGUGAUCCGGUGGUUCUGAAUGGAAGGGCCAUCGCUCAACGGAUAAAAGGUACUCCGGGGAUAACAGGCUGAUACCGCCCAAGAGUUCAUAUCGACGGCGGUGUUUGGCACCUCGAUGUCGGCUCAUCACAUCCUGGGGCUGAAGUCGGUCCCAAGGGUAUGGCUGUUCGCCAUUUAAAGUGGUACGCGAGCUGGGUUUAGAACGUCGUGAGACAGUUCGGUCCCUAUCUGCCGUGGGCGUUGGAAGAUUGAAGGGGGCUGCUCCUAGUACGAGAGGACCGGAGUGGACGAACCUCUGGUGUUCGGGUUGUGUCGCCAGACGCAUUGCCCGGUAGCUAAGUUCGGAAUCGAUAACCGCUGAAAGCAUCUAAGCGGGAAGCGAGCCCUGAGAUGAGUCUUCCCUGAUACUUUAAGUAUCCUAAAGGGUUGUCGGAGACUACGACGUUGAUAGGUCAGGUGUGUAAGUGCUGUGAGGCAUUGAGCUAACUGAUACUAAUUGCCCGUGAGGCUUAACCAU
rnacentral:rRNA from 1 species